ACUAUUUUGGCAGAUAAUAUGUGAGGGAUUUAGGAUCCUUUUAAAUAGAGUAAUUCUAUAAAUAGUU
rnacentral:tRNA from 1 species